rnacentral:lncRNA from 1 species
UUAAAUUCACCAUCCAAUGGCUUUUCAUUGCGGCUGAUCAGACCACAAAAGGAAAAGUCACCAGUGGGGUCAAAAAAGUCAUAACCCCUUUUCAGAACCGUUUUUUCUUUCUUACUACAUUAGACAAAUGAAAGCUAAUAACCUUAUCUAGAUUUCGUAUCUCAAGUUCCCAGAACAUUCCCUAUCAAAAGAAUUUCACGUGUUUAAUUAAAACUCAGAAAAUAAAACUUUAAAAUGUCAUGUGUGUCUACCCCUUUAAUAUAUCAUGUCCCUAGGAAUUUUUCCCCAAAGAGCUAAGCGCUCCAUAUUCCAUAAAAUAACCAUUUGGUCAGCAUUUCCUCAUACUUCACCGAUUCAGAAACCCAAAAGUUACCUACAAACAAAACCUAAAAAUGCUUAUACUUCCAUUGUAUUCCCCCCAAUCAUUAGUUUUAAACUUAAUUGAACAUGCGCUACCCUUGGAUACAAUACUGUACUUCAAUCUAUGAAACCCCAUAUUUUAACGUACUAUUUAACCAAUUUGACCCAAGAUUGCUUAAAACCCUAAAACCCUUUCAGUUUGUCUGCAAACCAGCCCAUUCUGUUUGCUAGGAAUACCCUGCCAUUAUACACAACUGUGUUUAAUGUGCACCUUCCCAGUUAAUUAUAAAAUUAACUCCACCUGUAAUUCACCUUAAUGACUUGAUAUUUUUCUUGCAAUGUUCAAUUCACUGGUGUUACUAAACAAUCAAUACCACGAAUCAAUAAGCAGAAUUUAUCACAAAACAAAACGCUUCUUUCCCGCCAAACAUAGCCCAGCGAUUACCUCUUUUCAAACAGCGUUCUGCCUUUCCUCUAUCACAAGAUUAAAACCAAUAUUCCAACUGUAUCUCUCUUUCGGCUUCACACUUAUGAAAUGUCUAUGUCCUUAUAUGUACCAUGUAAAUCGCCAUACUUAUAAAAAAUAACAUCAUUCAACUCUUUCUCUGUAUGCCAUUUCCAGCAACAGAGAACGUAUUAUAUCAAAAUUCUCUCGCUAUUAUUUUCUAAUUAGUUAGCCUUUCAAUUUAAACUAAUCAAGCUAUCAAAACGUUACAUUUAUAUCUUAAACAAACGCUAGCAACCGUAUCUCUCCAGGCAAAACAUAUCUUCUUACAUUUUAGUCCCAUGGUGCAUGGGCUGGGAUCUGAACCCGGGCCUCCCGCGUGGCAGGCGUGAAAACUAAACUAUUCGAAUGCAUACUCGGGUUCAGUGUCUUCCACCUGAAGCAAAGGAAACAUUAGGCCCCUAUCAGCCUGACCAGGGUCAAUAGCGGUGGUGAUCAGCCUAGUAGUGUACACUCACAAAAAUAACAAACAGGGGAGCUGAUAUCCCCA